AUAAAAAUGUUUAAGCUAAUAAUUGUGCUGGCUUUGUUCGUGGUCAGUGUUUCUUCUACUACUCAUUGGUUUGACUGUGGCUCACACUUUGCCCGUGUCACUCGUGUCCGAAUUCCAAAUUGUAGCCAGGCGCCUUGUACAUUACAACGUGGACAGACAUAUGAAAUUGAAUGUGAUGCCGAUUCAUAUGCCAACAGUUACAAUCUUCCGUUCAUCUCUUCUGCCUCGAUUCUUGGUAUGAAUGUCACCUUGCUUUCUGGAAAUGCAUGCAAUUAUUUUACUAUGGGAUCAUGUCCAGCUCGAAUUGGUAGUUCGUUUACUUUCAGUAUUAAAUAUGAAGUCCCUCGAACAUUACCACCGAUAAGGACUCUCAUUACCACUAUUCUUAAUAUUGAUAGCGGAGCUGUUGGCCUAUGCAUCGAAGUUGAGGUAAUUCUACAGUAGAGAAGGGUCAAUUUACGGAAGCGAUUGCAAAUGUUUUUAAAAAAAAAUGUGAUAUAAUCAAGGUAGAUGCGAAGUAACCUUGAGGUAGGAAUUAUUAUUAUUUUUAUGAAUAAAGACUUUUCAA